GAACGAUGAAGUUCCUUCGGGAAUGGAUUAGUGGCGAACGGGUGAGGAACACGUGAGAAACCUGCCUUUCAUUCUGGGAUAACACCGGGAAACCGGUGCUAAUACCGGAUACUCCAUCUUGGCGGCAUCGCCGAGCUGGGAAAAAUUUUGAUGAAAGAUGGUCUCGCGGCCUAUCAGCUAGUUGGUGAGGUAAAGGCUCACCAAGGCGACGACGGGUAGCCGGCCUGAGAGGGCGACCGGCCACACUGGGACUGAGACACGGCCCAGACUCC
rnacentral:rRNA from 1 species